UACCGGCGAUCCAAGUCGCAUCCAUUUUUAUUGGGUCUAAAACAUCCGUAGCUUGUUUUGUAAGUUUCUUGUGAAAUUUCAUAUCUCAAGUAUGAAGCGUGCAAGAAGUACUACAUUACUAGAGACCGGAAGACGCAAAGAGUACGGUUAAGGUAGCGGUAAAAUGUGUUAAUCUUAAUUGGACUAACAAUGGCGAAGGCACUUUGCGAGUACGGAUCUGACAGUGAGGGAUGAAGGCUAGGGGCGCAAAAGGGAUUAGAUACCCGCGUA
rnacentral:rRNA from 1 species